GGCUUCGUAGCUCAGCUGGUAGAGCUUGCGCUGUACAAAGGCGUGGGCAGCGCCCGUGUGUGGGUUCGUAUCCCACCGAGGCUA
rnacentral:tRNA from 1 species